rnacentral:sRNA from 1 species
AAGCGAGGCUGAAGGAGGUUCCCCCCCACCCCUUCAGCACUUCCGGUGAGUCACUUAUGAAGACCCGCGGCCCGGCUCCCUUUUGGGGUGCCGGGCCGCCUUCAUUU